GUGGCAUCUCAUCAUCUUUGUCAUAUUCUAUUGGUCAGUAGCAAGUCAUAGGUUCUACCAAGGAGUUUUCACUAAUAACAGUGAGAUACACAGAGUAGUGAUCCAAUUAAAAGAAAUGGCCAUGAAACAAAUAUUCAAAAGAAUAAGUACGUCAUACAAACUCUUGCUACAGAAGGAAAGAAUAAAGUGUUAUCAGGACAUGUAAUAGAGGGAGAUGUCUGGUAGCACUGAAGAUAUCCCUGGCAAGGAUGAGAUUUGAACUGAAAUAUGAAAGAAGAGAGAGUUUAAUUAAACAGCAUAGAGAAGGGAAAAGUGAAAAAUUCUAAGAGUGAACUGUAUGUUCCAAAGCUCUAUGGUAGGAUAAAAGCAUGGCACAUUUAAGAAAUGGAAGGAAAGCCCACGUGUCUGAAGGAGAGAAACAGAGGAAGAGGAAGGUCAAGGCAUUGGAUAAGAAGAGCAGACCCCAGAGUUGAAGUGUCAUGCGGCCUUGCUGUAGACCUGCGUGCCAACGGUGACAGAGAAGGAAAUAGUGACUGGGUUGCCCAAGAGGUGAUUUACUUUGAAGAGCAUCUGGUUAGGAGGAACUCAUCUCAGUGAGGGAUAAAACUUGUUUCUAACCGACUGAAAGCAAAUCAUUCAGGAUUUUCUGGUACAAAACAAUAUGAAUUUACUAGCAGACCGAUGAUGACUGCAGUAGCUUUCAGCAUUGCAGUCUGCCUUCAAGAAAGAAGGAAGAAGGAGCCAUGCCAGGGAUUAUAUCAGCAAGACCAGCCCCUCCUCUUCCUCCUCCUUCUCAGCCUACUCAGCAUGAAGACAAUGAGGAUGAAGACCUUUAAGAUGAUCCACUUCCACUGAAUAAAAAAUACAUUUUUCU